GACGAACGCUGGCGGCGUGCUUAACACAUGCAAGUCGAACGGAAAGGCCCUGCUUUUGUGGGGUGCUCGAGUGGCGAACGGGUGAGUAACACGUGAGUAACCUGCCCUUGACUUUGGGAUAACUUCAGGAAACUGGGGCUAAUACCGGAUAGGAGCUCCUGCUGCAUGGUGGGGGUUGGAAAGUUUCGGCGGUUGGGGAUGGACUCGCGGCUUAUCAGCUUGUUGGUGGGGUAGUGGCUUACCAAGGCUUUGACGGGUAGCCGGCCUGAGAGGGUGACCGACCACAUUGGGACUGAGAGACGGCCCAGACGCCUACGGGAGGCAGCAGUGGGGAAUAUUGCACAAUGGGCGGAAGCCUGAUGCAGCAACGCCGCGUGCGGGAUGACGGCCUUCGGGUUGUAAACCGCUUUCGCCUGUGACGAAGCGUGAGUGACGGUAAUGGGUAAAGAAGCACCGGCUAACUACGUG
rnacentral:rRNA from 1 species